CCCUUAGAGUUUGAUCAUGGCUCAGAGUGAACGCUGGCGGUAGGCCUAACACAUGCAAGUCNAACGGCAGCACAGGAGAGCUUGCUCUCUGGGUGGCGAGUGGCGGACGGGUGAGGAAUACAUCGGAAUCUACUUUUUCGUGGGGGAUAACGUAGGGAAACUUACGCUAAUACCGCAUACGACCUACGGGUGAAAGCAGGGGAUCUUCGGACCUUGCGCGAUUGAAUGAGCCGAUGUCGGAUUAGCUAGUUGGCGGGGUAAAGGCCCACCAAGGCGACGAUCCGUAGCUGGUCUGAGAGGAUGAUCAGCCACACUGGAACUGAGACACGGUCCAGACUCCUACGGGAGGCAGCAGUGGGGAAUAUUGGACAAUGGGCGCAAGCCUGAUCCAGCCAUACCGCGUGGGUGAAGAAGGCCUUCNGGUUGUAAAGCCCUUUUGUUGGGAAAGAAAUCCAGCUGGCUAAUACCCGGUUGGGAUGACGGUACCCAAAGAAUAAGCACCGGCUAACUUCGUGCCAGCAGCCGCGGUAAUACGAAGGGUGCAAGCGUUACUCGGAAUUACUGGGCCGUAAAGCGUGCGUAGGUGGUCNUUUAAGUCCGUUGUGAAGCCCUGGGCUCAACCUGGGAA
rnacentral:rRNA from 1 species